GGGAAUCUGCCCUUUGGUCUGGGAUAACUGUUGGAAACGACAGCUAAUACCGGAUGAUGACGUAAGUCCAAAGAUUUAUCGCCAGAGGAUGAGCCCGCGUCGGAUUAGCUAGUUGGUGGGGUAAAGGCCUACCAAGGCGACGAUCCGUAGCUGGUCUGAGAGGAUGAUCAGCCACACUGGGACUGAGACACGGCCCAGACUCCUACGGGAGGCAGCAGUGGGGAAUAUUGGACAAUGGGCGAAAGCCUGAUCCAGCAAUGCCGCGUGAGUGAUGAAGGCCUUAGGGUUGUAAAGCUCUUUUACCCGGGAUGAUAAUGACAGUACCGGGAGAAUAAGCUCCGGCUAACUCCGUGCCAGCAGCCGCGGUAAUACGGAGGGAGCUAGCGUUGUUCGGAAUUACUGGGCGUAAAGCGCACGUAGGCGGCUUUGUAAGUUAGAGGUGAAAGCCUGGAGCUCAACUCCAGAACUGCCUUUGAUACUGCAUGGCUUGAAUCCAGGAGAGGUGAGUGGAAUUCCGAGU
rnacentral:rRNA from 1 species